GACAGAGGGUGCAAACGUUGUUCGGAAUUACUGGGCGUAAAGCGUGUGUAGGUUGUUCCGAUAGUCGGAUGUGAAAGCCCUGGGCCCAACCUAGGAAGUGCAUUCGAUACUCCGGAGCUUGAGUCCUGGAGAGGAAGGCGGAAUUCUCGGUGUAGAGGUGAAAUUCGUAGAUAUCGAGAGGAACACCGGUGGCGAAGGCGGCCUUCUGGACAGUGACUGACGCUGAGACACGAAAGCGUGGGGAGCAAACAGG
rnacentral:rRNA from 1 species